AACGUAGGUGGCGAGCGUUAUCCGGAUUUACUGGGCGUAAAGGGUGUGCAGGCGGGCUGUUAAGUGGUGCAUGAAAUCUCCGCGCUUAACGUGGAGAGGCUGUGCCAGACUGGCAGUCUAGAGUACGAGAGAGGGUUGUGGAAUUCCGGGUGUAGUGGUGAAAUGCGUAGAGAUCCGGAGGAACACCAGCGGCGAAGGCGGCAACCUGGCUCGUAACUGACGCUCAUACACGACAGCAUGGGGAGCGAACGGG
rnacentral:rRNA from 1 species